CUUCUCCAAGAGUGCGCUGCCUGGGCCCGCUUGCCCUGGAGUGUAAGUGCUGGUAACUUCAGCAGUCAACGGAGAGAAGAGUGGAAACCUUACUGGAUGCGGACAGGAGAGCCAGUUACUGAAAGCAGAUAUAACGCGGAUCCUGUAAAGAGUGUGAUUGACAGACAAACCCCUAAAAUGAGAAGGAUCAGUGCGUCUGUCUGUAGAGAGUGACAGCGUUGAAGCAAGACAUUCAGAAGCCAGCCUGACACAAAGGGGACAAGAACAACUGCCACCCCAGCCCCCAUCUCAUUCCAACCCAAGAGACGAAUUGUAUAUUUCCACAUAUGCUGGACAAUAGGCAGAAAGUGGAGACCCAAAGAACUUGUGAUAUGACGGACAUAAGAAGCU
rnacentral:lncRNA from 1 species